GGAAAGGCGUCCUACGGCCGGCUAGGCAGCCGCCCCCUUGGAUGCUGUGGUUGUAAGGUGGGUGACCGACCGACUUCACUUGGGAUCUCUGUGCCUUCCGAACCCGCUUUCACAGCUCUUCUAGCUGGCCCCUGAGCAACGCGGGCCUCCGCCUCCGGGAAGCCCUCCGGGUCCCCCCACACCGCCCCGGCGCGCCCCCCGCUCUACCGACUCCGGGGCGCCUAGGGCGCUGCUCCCGCCCCCACGCGGGUAUCACCGGUGUCGGGACGCCCAGGAGAAAGUCCUCCAGCGCCUCGAGUCCCGGCGGAGCCCGCACGGGAGCCGUGGCGGCCGCGAGACGCCUAGGGCCUCCGGGAGGUGAAGAGAGUCCAGGGACUACGGCAGCCCCGAGCUUGGGGCACACCCACGGACAGGCCCGGAGGCUGGUCCCCGCGGCUCUUACUGUUUCACGUUGUCCCCCAGCGCCUCGCUCAAGUUCUUCUUGGCUGCCUCCAGCUCGCUCACAAAGGUCGCCAUUGCAGCGCGCGUCUUUCAGCCCGACCGUAGACCGCGCGGCCCACGGCCACCAGCAACCGAAAGAUCAACGCGGCGGAAGGCCUGCGCGCCGGACGCUGGAGGCUCGACUCGACUCGAUUCCACUCGGCUCGGCUCGGCUCGGUUCGGCUCGGCUCGGCUCGGUUCGGCUCGGCUCCGCUCGGCUCGGCUCGGCUCGGCUCGGCUCGGCUCUGCUCUGCUCGGCGGCCCCGCCCCCAUCCGCUCGGGAGACGUUGCGUGGGUUUGGUUCUUGGCCCCGCCGUCUCGCAGUUGGGAAAGCACCCAGCCAAACUCCCUUCGCCAACUCCCGCCUCUUGGCUCACGUGACCCGCUUCCCCUGGUGGGCGCGUGCCCAACCAAGCCCGCCUGCCCGCCCGCGGCGGCCCCCGGGGCGCGAACUUGACCGCCCCGCCCGCCCUCCGGCCAGGCCCCGCCCUGACUGCAGGUCAGCUCUUCCCAGAAGGAAGAGCUCAGGUCCCCGAGUGCAUGCAAUAUCUAAUUUAUCCUCUUGUCCUCAUUUUUUGCCAAGUGCUCACCACCUAUUGUGACAUUUAGUUGGUCGAUCUCGUUUUUCUGCCUCCUGCAACUAAAACGAGAGCUCCCUGAAGGCAGGAUUUAUGUUACUCAAGUUCUGAACAUUCACUAUUGACAGAUCAAAUAAAAAUAAUUCCCAAGCAGGACUACCAAAGGUCCUAGGGGAGGUAACAGGAGGAGUCUCAGCAGCUAGUUAGCCUGACCCACAGAGGAAAAGACACAAAGAACCUCGUUUCAAGUCAAGGUCAAGUGGAAGGACCCACAAGCUAGCUUGUCCUCUGACAGGCUCAAAUUCCAAAUUCACACUCGAAUAUGCACAUAUAUACUACACUAGGAAGCCAUAGCUGUGUUCAGCUUAAAACUUUUUAAAGCCUACUUUUAAAGUCUCUCUCUCUCUCUCUCUCUCUCUCUCUCUCUCUCUCUCUCUCUCUCUCUCUCGUUUUGACAGAGUGGCCUCUUAACUCACAUAGAUCCAACUGCCUCUAGUGCUGGCUGGGACUAAAGGCAUGGGUCACCAUGCCCAGCUUGUUUGUUCUUGAAAUAGGGUCUCUCUUUGUAGCCCUGGCUAUCUGACACCAGGCUAUUAUUUUGCCUUAAUGUUCAUGUUUGUUUGUUGAGACAGGGUUUCUCUGUAUAGCCCUGGCUGUCCUGGAACUCACUUUGUAGAACAGGCUGGCCUUGAACUCAGAAAUCCACCUGUCUCUGCCUCCCAAGUGCUGGGAUUAAAGGCAUGUGCCACCACUACCCGGCUAAUGUUCAUACUUUUAAUGACAGCAUAAUUUUUUAAAGAUUUUGUUUUUAGGUAGAUGUCAUUGUGAGUGAAUUUACAGGUGGUUGUGAGCAGCGGGCCCUGUUAAAUACUGCACAGAUAAGAUGCAUACAAUGACUUCUUUCCUGUCUAUUAAACUGGGGUUUUCUCCUGUAUUAAAAGAAAUAUUUUAACAAGCA
ensembl:lincRNA Gm15853 predicted gene 15853